GCUAAUUUACCUAAUUAGCCUCUAACAUCAUAUAAAUUUAUAUAUAAGUACCAAAUAUGAAGAGGGUUUGUGUGUGCACAGAAAUAAUAGGAGAAAGAAAAAGAAAAUUGAAAUGUAUUUUAUGGAGAAAAAUACUAAUGCCAAUUUGCAGGUGGUGUCUAUGGCCAUGGUAACUAUAUGCCUGGUCACCACCUUUCUUCCAUCCACAUUUGCAGGAUCUCGAAAAGAGCUUUCGUCGGAAAAUAGGGUUGGUAUAGCUGAGAGGAUUGAGAGAAGUCCUCUCUUAAAUAUAUUGAUGGAAGGGAAGCUAAUGAGUAUCUGUGGUGUAUGCAAGAGUGGAAAGUGUCCUACAGGAUGUGUUUGUUACCCUACUCAAGAUUAUCCUCCAGGACCUUUCUGCACUGGAAAUUGUUGUUGAGGAGUAUUUGUUUUGUUUGGCAAUAUAUAUGUUAUUACUUUAGAAAAUAAAAUGUUGCCAAACAAGAGAAUCAUAAAAAUAAUGUUAUGUCCAAUCAUGACUUGGUGAUAUAUAUAUAUAUAUAUAUAUAUAUGCUUAUGAUGUUACAUAAGCAAUAUGCAUGUUGUGCUACUAGAUGCGUUUGGCUUUUUAAUUAAUAGUGUGUAUUUGUGUGUUCCUUAAUUAUGUAAUGUGUUGUGUUAUUCUUGUAUGUAAUAAAGUAAGCAUUUGAUGGAAUGAAAUACUUGGGACAUGACCAUCCUUUUGUAACCAAA